CUAUUGGAGGGGCAGAGCCAGGCACAAAGGCUAGGAUAAGACACGAUGCAGCAAUAUUUGGGAAGCUCUUGGCCCUUCUGUGCUGCUUUUCUGCUGCUGGCAGGUGUGGGAGGUGUCUGUGCCCCUGCCCAUGCGUCCCCUGUGCCCGGGCAGAGCCCACCCCCUCCUCUGCCCACCUCCUCCCCAUCCCACCUCCUGCUCUGCCAUGGGCAGGUGCUCUUUGGCACGGGGAAAACAGACACAGAGGUAGUGGCAGUGAAAGCAGCCUCGUCCUCCAAAUCCUCCUGCACAAAAGCCCUUUUGUUCCCCGGGUGAAUUCCAAGAGCUUUCCUCCAGUUUUGAUUCCAGUAAACUCCCACUGCAAGCAGACAGGCGAGGGCUGAAAACAAAGCGGCAGCAAAAUGAAAAGUCCCUUGUAAAAAACCCCGGCCAGGGCUGGAGGCUCUUGUCUAACAGCUUUCCUGGCCUGCAACUCCUGUGGAUUUCCUGAUUGGAGAUAAGCAGCAAAGAAAACAAGCUCUAGGAUGGGGAAGCAGCGAGGCCAGUGGACCUUGGCAGAAGGAAAAUGGGGCUGUGAUUUAUGGUGUGCAGGGGACUGGGGGAGCGCCUGCCCCAUCCGCUGGCUCCCUGGAGCUCCACUGCUGGGAUUUCUCAUGAUAUGGGGGAAGGGGAGAGGCCAUGAGGCUCCAGUGGCCUGUGUUGCUCCGUGGGGUCUCCAUCAUCAUCACAUCUUUCCCAGAGCAGCCAGGAGGAUGUGGCCAUCUCACUGCUGGAAGCCACAAGGAUUGCAACCAGCUCCAGUGACCACAAGGAGCACAAAGCCCAGUCCUUUAGGGCAUCUCUUGGACCCCAGCAGGAUUUCCCUGAACCUUGGCUGUGUGUUUCUUGCAGCUUCCCUGUCGUGCAGCUGCCAGCACUGGAAGGGGGUGGAGGAAACACAUUGGACCAGAGCCCAGUUGGGAAGAGAAAUCCAUGGUGCUGGAAUGUCCAAGCCAGUGUGGCAGCCCAUGAAACAGCUCAGUGAGGAUCCACAGAUUAAGCCUGCUGGAGUCCGUGUUGCAGAGCUCUCUGCUCUGCCUUGUUCCAGUGUUUUCUUCUGGUGCUGUUCAGAGCUUCUCCUGCUGGAGGCCGGUCUGAGGCAGGCACGAAGCCCUGACCUUGUGAUUUUACCUCGCAGCAAAGCUGAAGAUCUUUGUCUCCGCGGUGUUUGUGCCUCAGCAGGGCUGACCUACGUCAGCCGCCGCCGGUCGGGAGCACGGCUCCCGCGGCAGAGCCAGGCCCUGGGCCGCAAAUAACCCUGGCAUUGCUCAACCCCGCCACUGGUUCACCGGGUGCACCUCGCCCGCUCCCUCACAGCCCUGCUAUUUUGGUUUGGAGCCUCUCCUGCCAGGGGUUUAUUACAGGUUGCAGGGUUGAGUCAGAGGAGCGAGUUCAGCCCUGCGACGGAGAAACCCCGGGGCAGCUGCUGGCAUGGCUGGGUGCUGGGACGUGGCUGGGUGCUGGGGCAUGGCUGGGUGCUGGGGCAUGGCUGGGGUCU